UGCUCCCGUAUCUAUCAUCGGUGUAUAAUAUCUGUUGUAAUAUCCCUCUAUUAUUAUCUUUGCAAGUAUAUAUAUUUUCAUAUUUUUAUCCUACUAAAGUUCUUUUUAUUAUUACUCUUUUAUUUUCAUAAUUUAUUGUUAAUUGUUUGUCUUCUAGAUUAUAUGGUUUAACUUGUUCUAACCAUUUUAUUCCUAAAGUUAUAUUUUCAUCUCCUUGAUAUAUUUUAAAUUUUAUUACUAUUGGUAUUCCUCCAAUGAUUAUUUCCUUUUCUGUAGUUUCUUCGGUAUACAUUAAUGCUAUCAUGUUACUACUAGCGGUGUUUUUAAUUUUUUUCCACUUAUCUUCUGGUAAACAAUUGUAAUUACAUAUGUUAGCUUCUGCUCCCGUAUCUAUCAUUGGUGUAUAAUAUCUGUUGUAAUAUCCCUCUAUUAUUAUCUUUGCAAGUAUAUAUACUUUCAUAUUUUUAUGAUUACUAAAGUUCCUUUUUAUUAUUACUCUUUUAUUUUCAUAAUUUAUUAUUAACUGUUUGUCUUCUAGAUUAUAUGGUUUUACUUGUUCUAGCCAUUUUAUUCCUAAAGUGAUAUUUUCAUCUCCUUGAUAUAUUUUAAAUUUUAUUACUAUUGGUACGCCUCCAAUGAUUAUUUCCUUUUCUGUAGUUUCUUUGGUAUACAUUAAUGCUUU
rnacentral:lncRNA from 1 species